rnacentral:rRNA from 1 species
UACGGAGGAUCCAAGCGUUAUCCGGAAUCAUUGGGUUUAAAGGGUCCGUAGGCGGUUUGGUAAGUCAGUGGUGAAAGCCCAUCGCUCAACGGUGGAACGGCCAUUGAUACUGCCAGACUUGAAUUAUUAGGAAGUAACUAGAAUAUGUAGUGUAGCGGUGAAAUGCUUAGAUAUUACAUGGAAUACCAAUUGCGAAGGCAGGUUACUACUAAUGGAUUGACGCUGAUGGACGAAAAGCGUGGGGGAGCGAACAGG